CCUACGGGAGGCAGCAGUGGGGAAUAUUGGACAAUGGGCGCAAGCCUGAUCCAGCAAUGCCGCGUGGAUGAAGAAGGUCUUCGGAUUGUAAAGUCCUUUCGGCGGGGACGAUGAUGACGGUACCCGCAGAAGAAGCCCCGGCUAACUUCGUGCCAGCAGCCGCGGUAAUACGAAGGGGGCUAGCGUUACUCGGAGUGACUGGGCGUAAAGGGCGCGUAGGCGGUUUGGUUUGUUAGGUGUGAAAUUCCUGGGCUUAACCUGGGGGCUGCACUUAAGACGGCCAGGCUUGAGUGUGAAAGAGGGUCGUGGAAUUCCCAGUGUAGAGGUGAAAUUCGUAGAUAUUGGGAAGAACACCGGUGGCGAAGGCGGCGACCUGGUUCAUUACUGACGCUGAGGCGCGAAAGCGUGGGGAGCAAACAGGAUUAGAUACCCUGGUAGUCCACGCCGUAAACGAUGUGUGCUGGAUGUUGGGCAACCUAGUUGCUCAGUGUCGUAGCUACGACGAGUAAGACACACCGCCGUCGGGUAGGUACGGCCGGCCGACGGUAGUAACGUAAACGGUAAAGUUAGUACGGCGUGAGUAACGUGCGACGGACGACGACGAGGGAGGAGG
rnacentral:rRNA from 1 species